rnacentral:rRNA from 1 species
AUCCUACGGGAGGCAGCAGUAGGGAAUCUUCCGCAAUGGACGAAAGUCUGACGGAGCAACGCCGCGUGAGUGAUGAAGGCUUUCGGGUCGUAAAACUCUGUUGUUAGGGAAGAACAAGUGCUAGUUGAAUAAGCUGGCACCUUGACGGUACCUAACCAGAAAGCCACGGCUAACUACGUGCCAGCAGCCGCGGUAAUAAU